rnacentral:rRNA from 1 species
CAGUCGCCGCGGGAAUACAGAGGGUGCGAGCGUUAAUCGGAUUUACUGGGCGUAAAGCGUGCGUAGGCGGCUUCUUAAGUCGGAUGUGAAAUCCCUGAGCUUAACUUAGGAAUUGCAUUCGAUACUGGAAAGCUAGAGUAUGGGAGAGGAUGGUAGAAUUCCAGGUGUAGCGGUGAAAUGCGUAGAGAUCUGGAGGAAUACCGAUGGCGAAGGCAGCCAUCUGGCCUAAUACUGACGCUGAGGUACGAAAGCAUGGGGAGCAAACAGGAUUAGAUACCCCCGUAGUCCCUGUCUCUUAUAC